UGCAUCAGUGAUGAUGAUCGUGAUGGGAAGAGUCUUGAACGAUGAAAACAUCUCUGAAACUCUGAGGUCUGU
rnacentral:snoRNA from 1 species